rnacentral:rRNA from 1 species
UACGUAGGGGGCAAGCGUUGUCCGGAUUUAUUGGGCGUAAAGAGCUCGUAGGCGGUUUGGUAAGUCUGGUGUGAAAGUCGGGGGCUCAACCCUCGAAUGCCGGUGGAUACUGUCGGGCUAGAGUACGGAAGAGGCGAGUGGAAUUCCUGGUGUAGCGGUGAAAUGCGCAGAUAUCAGGAGGAACACCAAUUGCGAAGGCAGCUCGCUGGGACGUUACUGACGCUGAGACGCGAAAGCGUGGGGAGCAAACAGG